UCCUCGCAGAGAGAGACGCCCUUUCGAAAGGGAUCCUCCUCCGAACACGGCUCCACGGUGCAGACGCCGACAAAAUGGCACAGAAAAACACGGCGAGGAAUCGGAAAGAAAGAAAUAGCUGGGGAGGAUUUUCAGAGGGUAGCUUCUGUUGGCCAUCAGAAGAUGAAGCUGUGCAGCAAGCUAGACCAGUUCAGAUUCUCGUUGUUAAUGAUGACCAUACUUUUGAACUGGAUGAAGUGGCUCUGAACAAAAUCCUUCUCUCAGAAGAAGUUAGAGAUCGGGAAGUGGUAGCCUUAUCUGUCGCUGGUGCCUUCAGAAAAGGAAAAUCAUUCCUUAUGGACUUCAUGCUGAGAUACAUGUACAGUCAGGAUCGCAAUGCCUGGUUAGGUCAUUAUGAUGAGCCUUUGACUGGUUUCUCCUGGCGUGGAGGAUCAGAGCGAGAAACAACUGGGAUUCAGAUAUGGAGUGAAGUGUUUCUGGUGGACAAACCUAAUGGAGAGAAGGUUGCAGUGCUGCUGAUGGACACCCAAGGGACAUUUGACAGUCAAUCAACUCUUAGAGAUUCUGCUACAGUAUUUGCACUUAGCACCAUGAUAAGUUCAAUGCAGGUAUAUAAUUUGUCACAAAAUAUUCAAGAGGAUGAUCUUCAGCAUCUACAGCUCUUCACUGAAUAUGGGCGACUAGCUAUGGAAGAAACGUUUCAGAAACCAUUUCAGUCACUUAUAUUUCUAGUCCGUGACUGGAGCUUUCCAUAUGAAUUCAACUACGGUCUUGAUGGAGGCAUCAAAUUUCUGGAGAAACGUCUUAAGAUUUCAGAAAACCAGCACGAGGAGCUACAGAAUGUCAGGAAACACAUCUAUUCUUGUUUUACAAAUAUCGCCUGCUUCCUAAUGCCACACCCUGGUUUGAAAGUGGCCACGAACCCCAACUUUGAUGGACGGCUAAAUGAGAUAGAUGAGGAGUUUAUAAAACAUCUGAAAGUGCUGGUUUCUUGGCUUCUGUGUCCUGAGAACCUUGAGUUGAAAGAAAUCAAUGGGAAUAAAAUAACAGGUCGAGGGCUUGUGGAGUAUUUUAAGGCAUACAUAAAGAUCUAUCAAGGGGAAGAACUACCACAUCCCAAGUCCAUGUUGCAGGCCACAGCAGAAGCUAACAAUUUAGCAGCUGUAGCAGCAGCCAAAGACUUAUAUGGUAAAAAAAUGGAGGAGAUUUGUGGAGGAGACAAACCAUUCCUUGCACCCAAUGACCUCCAGAGCAAACACUUGGGACUCCGAGAUGAAGCUGUCAAAUUAUUCCGUGGAGUUAAGAAGAUGGGAGGAGAGGAAUUCAGUCGCCGUUAUUUGCAACAACUGGAGAAUGAAAUUGAUGAGUUGUACAUAAACUACAUAAAACACAAUGAUAGUAAAAACAUCUUCCAUGCUGCCCGUACACCUGCCACUCUAUUUGUGGUGAUAUUUAUUAUGUAUGUAAUAGCUGGAGUGACAGGAUUUAUUGGGGUGGACAUUAUAGCUAGUCUGUGCAACAUGAUAAUGGGGCUGGCUCUGAUCACUCUGUGCACAUGGGCAUAUAUUAGAUACUCUGGAGAAUACAGGGAGCUUGGAGCUGUCAUAGAUCAAGUAGCAGGAGCCUUAUGGGACCAGCUGGAGGUGAAGCUGGUACUUCCUGCCAUGACUGUGUAGACCAUUGUUGGCCAGCAGGGGGUGCUGAGAUCAUUAAUUCAAGACGAGCAUGACUAUCAAGCCAGCAUCAUUUUACAGUAACUCUAAUGACUCUUCAAACAAAAAAAGGCAGUGAACUUUGACAUGACAUAAGUCUGUGAAUGCAUUGGCUAGUACCAAUAUAAAAGGCUCUUUUCAGGCUAUAUGAUGCUGCUACAAGCCACAGGCAUAUUUAUCACCACACCUUCCCUGCAGCACAACCAGAAACCAAUGCAGACACCAAGAAGAAAAAAUGAUUCGAUGGAUUCCUCUCCUGCACAUUCACAAGGGAAAUUUUUUGUUCAUUAUUAUUGUGCAUUCCCAUGUCACUAAUCCAAGAAGUGCUAUAUAAAUGGAAAGCCAAUGAUAGCUCGUAACGGAAUGAAAUCACGUAUCAACACUGAACACUGUGCUGGCUUUCACUUAUAGUUAUGUUGCAAAUUGUAUUGUGAAAAUGUGCUAGUUUGCAUGAUUUUGUUAACUGUUGAUAUAUGAGUCAAAUUUUCUUCCAUCAAGAAUGUACAAUUAAUGUUUUUUAAAUCGCUUUAAAGAACACCUGGUAUUUUUUUCUUUCAACUGAACAUUUGUCUUCCAUAAGAACUUUAAUUUUCAAUUUAAGCAUUGCACAUUUAAAACAUUUACUAUUUAUUGAAUGUUAAAACGUUUUGAAACUCAAAUUUUCUUUACUGUCUUAACAGAUUGCAAUAUAGUAUAUUUUAAAAAUCACCAUUUUUGCUCAUAGCUACAGUCAAAUGUUUCCACAUGUGUAAAAUAAAUUUGUUUUAUUACUAUA